rnacentral:misc_RNA from 1 species
GAUGAAGAACGUAGCGAAAUGCGAUACUUGGUGUGAAUUGCAGAAUCCCGUGAACCAUCGAGUCUUUGAACGCAAGUUGCGCCCGAAGCCAUUAGGCCGAGGGCACGCCUGCCUGGGCGUCACACGUCGUUGCCCCCCCCAUCUACUCCUUCGGGAUUGCGGGGGGCGGAUGAUGGCCUCCCGUGUGCCUCGCCGCGCGGUUGGCAUAAAUGCCAAGUCCUCGGCGACGCACGCCACGACAAUCGGUGGUUGCGAAACCUCGGUUGCCCGUCGUGUGCGGUCGUCGCGCAUCGAGGGCUCGAAAAAAUUGCCGGGUUCCGGCUCGGCUUUCAACGCGACCCCAGGUCAGGCGGGGUUACCCGCUGAAUUUAAGCAUAUCAAUAACGGAGGA